UCGAGCCAUAGCUAUCCAAAGUGGUC
rnacentral:piRNA from 1 species